rnacentral:lncRNA from 1 species
AGGGAUCGGCGAGUGGUGGCACCUCCUGACGUCGUCCCCUUCUCUCAUCUCUCAUUCUCGCUGAACCCUCCGCUCACAAGAAGACGGUGAAAGGUUUAGAAAAGGGGAAAAAUUUAGGGUUUUCUUUUGGUUUUAUUUUUCCAGUGAGAGACGAAGAGAGGGAGAAAGAAAGAGGGAUCACCGGUGUAAAGGCGAGGACGUUGCCGGAUCUUGAAAGGAAUAAGCGGUGGUCUCUGGCUCCGAAACCGCACUCGCCAAGACCAAGUAUUUGGGAGGCGACGAAUUCUCCUUGGCCGAUCUGAAAUGUGAGAAGGGCGAGACGCAGAGAGAAGGAGCUGAGGUUUUUUUUUUAAUAUAUAAGUUGGA